rnacentral:rRNA from 1 species
GACGAACGCUGGCGGCGUGCUUAACACAUGCAAGUCGAACGGAAAGGCCCUGCUUUUGUGGGGUUCUCGAGCGGCGAACGGGUGAGUAACACGUGAGUAACCUGCCCUUGACUUUGGGAUAACUUCAGGAAACUGGGGCUAAUACCGGAUAGGAGCUCCUGCUGCAUGGUGGGGGUUGGAAAGUUUCGGCGGUUGGGGAUGGACUCGCGGCUUAUCAGCUUGUUGGUGGGGUAGUGGCUUACCAAGGCUUUGACGGGUAGCCGGCCUGAGAGGGUGACCGGCGACAUUGGGACUGAGAUACGGCGCAGACGCCUACGGGAGGCAGCAGGGGGGAACAUUGCACAAUGGGGGGAAGCCUGAUGCAGCAACGCCGCGUGCGGGAUGACGUCCUUCGGGUUGUAAACCUCUUUCGCAUGUGACGAAGCGAGAGUGACGGUAAUGGGUAAAGAAGCACCGGCUAACUACGUG